UUUUUUUUGUUAAACACUCUCCCGACUGCUCUACACUUUUUUGCCCCCUCAAUAAUCCCCAAAUCCCUCUUGGUCCCCCAUUUCACCUUUUUCUACUGCCUUGUUUCUCCAGAACUAUUUCCUGAGCGCCACCAUCUUAGUGUUUCAGGAAAUUAGGUUUACUGCAUUGUCUUCAUCUGCCCACAUUAAGCUUGCGCGGUCAAAUUCCCGCGUAUGGCCAUAUCACAGGACGUUCAGAAAGAGUGAAAUGAGGCAACGGGAACAUACGGUGAGGAAAAGGUGAGUAUCCUGGGGAAACGUUCCUAAACACCGGAAGUAGAGGUUAUUUAAGCUCCACCCAGAGUCUAAGAAAGUCAAGCAUAAGAAAAAUACAUAAGACAAAGCAGAUAAGAGGAAGAAGUGCGGGAAUAGGUAAGUACAGCGUGACAGUGCGGGAAUAGGUAAGUACAGAGUGACAGUGCGAGAAUAGGUAAGUACAGGGUGACAGUGAGGGAAUAGGUAAGUACAGGGUGACAGUGCGGGAAUAGGUAAGUACAGCGUGACAGUGCGGGAAUAGGUAAGUACAGGGUGACAGUGCGGGAAUAGGUAAGUACAGAGUGACAGUGCGGGAAUAGGUAAGUACAGAGUGACAGUGCGAGAAUAGGUAAGUACAGCGUGACAGUGAGGGAAUAGGUAAGUACAGGGUGACAGUGCGGGAAUAGGUAAGUACAGUGUGACAGUGCGGGAAUAGGUAAGUACAGGGUGACAAUGCGGGAAUAGGUAAGUACAGGGUGACAGUACGGGAAUAGGUAAGUACAGGGUGACAAUGCGGGAAUAGGUAAGUACAGGGUGACAGUGCGGGAAUAGGUAAGUACAGAGUGACAGUGCGGGAAUAGGUAAGUACAGCGUGACAGUGCAGUGGAAUAGGUAAGUACAGAGUGACAGUGCGGGAAAGGUAAGUACAGCGUGACAGUACGGGAAUAGGCAAGUACAGCGUGACAGUGCGGGAAUAGGUAAGUACAGCGUGACAGUGCGGGAAUAGGUAAGUACAGCGUGACAGUGCGGGAAUAGGUAAGUACAGCGUGACAGUGCGGGAAUAGGUAAGUACAGCGUGACAGUGCGGGAAUAGGUAAGUACAGAGUGACAGUGCGAGAAUAGGUAAGUACAGCGUGACAGUGAGGGAAUAGGUAAGUACAGGGUGACAGUGCGGGAAUAGGUAAGUACAGGGUGACAGUACGGGAAUAGGUAAGUACAGGGUGACAAUGCGGGAAUAGGUAAGUACAGGGUGACAGUGCGGGAAUAGG